GACGAACGCUGGCGGCGUGCUUAACACAUGCAAGUCGAACGGAAAGGCCCUGCUUUUGUGGGGUGCUCGAGUGGCGAACGGGUGAGUAACACGUGAGUAACCUGCCCUUGACUUUGGGAUAACUUCAGGAAACUGGGGCUAAUACCGGAUAGGAGCUCCUGCUGCAUGGUGGGGGUUGGAAAGUUUCGGCGGUUGGGGAUGGACCCGCGGCUUAUCAGCUUGUUGGUGGGGUAGUGGCUUACCAAGGCUUUGACGGGUAGCCGGCCUGAGAGGGUGACCGGCCACAUUGGUACUGAGAUACGGCCCAGACUCCUACGGGAGGCAGCAGUGGGGAAUAUUGCACAAUGGGCGGAAGCCUGAUGCAGCAACGCCGCGUGCGGGAUGACGGCCUUCGGGUUGUAAACCGCUUUCGCCUGUGACGAAGCGUGAGUGACGGUAAUGGGUAAAGAAGCACCGGCUAACUACGUG
rnacentral:rRNA from 1 species